ACGAGAGUUUUUACUUGCUGCCAGGUCAGUAGCGGACAUGUGUAAGAAAUCCAUAUAUCCAAAUAUAGUGGCCCUACUAAAAAGUGAUGCACUGCAGGUGGCUAUGAUAUUCUCGGUUUUGCUCAUAUAACAGAGUUGCCUCAUUACAGUAAUUUUUCAGAAAAAAUUGAGUAAUUUUCAUAAGAACGCAAAAUCAGUCUCUGAAAUCCGAAUAUUGGUAACGCCGAGCUAGGAAUUGCUCUUACCAGAGAAUAUUAACAGUCUGUGCCUUUGUUUACAUUUUUGGUGGUUAUCAUUCUCUGUGUACCUUUUUCGUGUUUUUGUGAAAAACUUGUGUUUGUGGUCAAAAGUGUAAGAAAAAGAAUGUGCCUAUGUACGGGUAACUGUUGCUUUAUGUACAAGUUAAUUUAAAAGAUUUAAAAGUGGUUUCUAUAGGAUUCCCACUCACAAAUUUGUAUAAUUUGUGCUUUCAAUACUUGCUCCUUCAUGAAAUUGGAAGUGUGGCAGGUAUGGACAAACCCGAGUGAUUUAACAAACUGCAAUAUACCCUUAAAUAGCUACAUAGGAAAGAUGUUUGGGUAAUAUGUUUUAGUGUACAAUAAUUGCAGAAAAUAUAAAAAAACAAUUAAGCUGCAAUAAAUACUCCUUGACAGUUACAAAUGCUUGUAAACCUCACUGUGGGAAAGUUUUCGUUUGUCAUCACCCUUAGUGAAAAUAAAAUUGCCUUUCGGUUAGUCAAAAAUUACAUAACCAGAAAUUCUAGACAACUAUUCAAAAUUUUGGGGUACAUUAUUUGUAGGUUACCUACCUCCUUAGGGAGGUAAGUGAAUACUGCAGUACGUACACACACAAUUUGACAAUGAUUAAAUAGAAAUAGUUCUAUCAAUAAAUACUGAUUUUGUAAAUCUGCUUGUUGGAUUCGGGACAACUUGAGUAGGCAAAAUAUUAUAUGCACAACUUGGGAAGAAGAGGUCUUGAUUAGUCUCCGACUAUUUUCCCAACCAUUGUUUGGCUCGAGAGUAAGCUAUGUCCUAGACUCUUUACCAAAAGAUGAAAUUGUAAGGAAACAUUGCUUGUUAAAGAUGGACCCGCCAGGGAGGCUAAUAGUUUUAGAAAAUCCUCCAUAUGUGGGCGUCACAUCACUCCUUUAAACUAUAGAAGAGGUGGUAAAGUCUUGAUAAACUAGGCAGUGCAGUGUCUUUUAGUGUGAUAAAUUGUUUUCGCUGCACAUGCAUCCAUCCAUCCUGACAACAUUUUCGUGCUGGGAAGCACGUUGAAAAUACAUCCCUGAUGUCAUUUUUGAGUAACACAACAGCAGCCCCAGUAACACAACAGCCCGAUUUUUUUAUUGAUUAAAUUAGCACUUUGUACCACUAAAAUCAGCUGGCAAUGUAAUAUUGACCGUGGAUGGUUAUUCAUCUCACUGUAACAGCCUCCACAUAUUUAGAUAUGUAAUUUAUGUGCUCAUUUUGAAGACGAAAAGUAUAUUAUGCAACAAGUACGGUAAACGGCAUUUUUCUACUCCCGUCUGUAAAAUACUUAAUUACGCACCGAUCUAGCGUGCGGGAUGCGCCACUUUACCACGUCAGUUACGUUUCCCAUGCAGCCAUGGGAGCAAUCGGAUGUUUUCGGAGAUAUUUCCCAGGCUUUGAAUUUUGACGUUUGUCAAUUCUGCCAGUCAUGUCAGUGAAUGUAUUCGUGUUGUUUUGCGAAAAUGUACCCAAAAAUUAACGAUCGUAGAAAAAGUAUAGUAUGCAACACGUUCGGUAAACUUUUUAACUCACUCAUUUAUUAAUUUAUUUAUUUUAUAAACUUGCGAGUCAAUAGAAUAUUAUGCAACAAGUGUUUAUUUGGCACGAGCGGAGCGAGUGUUUAAUAAACUGAUUAGUGGCCUAUACACAUGCAGGCAAGUGUUAAGACUUGCAUGUACAGGUCGAGACACGCGAGUAAGUGCGAAUUUGUCAAAACUCACGGCGCGUUCAGUUCCAAGCGUGGCUCGAAGGGAAUCAGAUUGUGUCUGAUUUUUAAAGCAAGUGCGAAGGCCAACUUGUCAGUGUAUGUUCAGUUUUGUUUAGGUUUCGCGCCAAGACCGUUUCUACGUAAUUUUCGUGGCAGAUUAGUCCCUGGAAAAAAUGGCAAAUUCUAGAUUAUCAAAGAAACACGAAGUCAUUAUGAGGGAAUUCAUAGAAUUAUGUAAAUACAAUUCGUGCUUGUGCACGAUAAAAUGAAGAGUUUUAAAAUAAAAUAUUAAAACAAGAGGCAUACAAAUUUUUAGUUGAGAAGUUGAAAGAAAUGAACGAAGAUUCAGCAAAGAAGACGUUAUCAAAAAAAAAAUCAAUGCGGAGUUGUUUAAAUUCCAUUCCAUUCUCAGAUAAUUUCGGUGAUCGUUCGAUUCUAAUCUCAAUUCAUUUAUUAAAU